GAUGAACGCUGGCGGCGUGCUUAACACAUGCAAGUCGAACGAGAAGUGAAGACGGAAACCUUCGGGCGGAAGGCUUUAUUUCGAGUGGCGGACGGGUGAGUAACGCGUGGGUAACCUGCCUCAUACAGGGGGAUAACAGUUGGAAACGACUGUUAAUACCGCAUAAGACCACAGCACCGCAUGGUGCGGGGGUAAAAACUCCGGUGGUAUGAGAUGGACCCGCGUUCGAUUAGCCAGUUGGCGGGGUAACGGCCCACCAAAGCGACGAUCGAUAGCCGAUCUGAGAGGAUGACCGGCCACAUUGGGACUGAGACACGGCCCAAACUCCUACGGGAGGCAGCAGUGGGGAAUAUUGCACAAUGGGGGAAACCCUGAUGCAGCGACGCCGCGUGAGUGAAGAAGUAUUUCGGUAUGUAAAGCUCUAUCAGCAGGGAAGAAAAUGACGGUACCUGGGUAAGAAGCCCCGGCUAACUACGUG
rnacentral:rRNA from 1 species